GUCCUUUUAUUUUUUACAAAAACGUCCUAUUUUAUUAGUGUCAGGUAACUGACUAUGACGAUAAACGGCUUAUGGAAUAAGCGUUGCGGACCCGGGGGCGGUACCCGGCGUCUCCACCAUAUUAUGGGGACGAAACAGGAUCGACGUGCGUAGUAAAGAUAAGUUUUUCGUUCGGUGUGCGCCGCCGCUAUCGGGCAAAUUUUAUAGAUGCCAACUCAAACAAGGCACCUGUAGCUAACUUUAACCGCGCUUAUGCUGCGGUAGCUGCCUAAUAUCUUAGCAAUAGCGGAUAUUAAGUACUUUAGUUAGUCGCGGUUCGGGGGCACCGGGCAACAGAAGCCCCCACU
rnacentral:tmRNA from 1 species